ensembl:misc_RNA Metazoa_SRP Metazoan signal recognition particle RNA
GCUGGGCACGGUGGCUCAUGCCUGUAAUCCAGCACUUUGGGAGGCAGAGGUGGGUGGAUCACCUGAGGUCAGGAGUUCAAGACCAGCCUGGCCAACAUGGUGAAAUCUCACCUCUA